rnacentral:rRNA from 1 species
GAUGAACGCUGGCGGCGUGCCUAAUACAUGCAAGUCGAGCGAACAGACGAGGAGCUUGCUCCUCUGACGUUAGCGGCGGACGGGUGAGUAACACGUGGAUAACCUACCUAUAAGACUGGGAUAACUUCGGGAAACCGGAGCUAAUACCGGAUAAUAUAUUGAACCGCAUGGUUCAAUAGUGAAAGACGGUUUUGCUGUCACUUAUAGAUGGAUCCGCGCCGCAUUAGCUAGUUGGUAAGGUAACGGCUUACCAAGGCAACGAUGCGUAGCCGACCUGAGAGGGUGAUCGGCAACACUGGAACUGAGACACGGUCCAGACUCCUACGGGAGGCAGCAGUAGGGAAUAUUCCGCAAUGGGCGAAAGCCUGACGGAGCAACGCCGCGUGAGUGAUGAAGGUCUUCGGAUCGUAAAACUCUGUUAUUAGGGAAGAACAAAUGUGUAAGUAACUAUGCACGUCUUGACGGUACCUAAUCAGAAAGCCACGGCUAACUACGUG